GCAGCAGGAGCAGAGAGCAGCCAUUGCUGUGUCUGGCAGCAGGGGGCACUGGACACCCACCCAGAGCAGUUUCACCUGGCUGGUGAAAAACACUAAGGCAUCUUGGGAGAAUGGAGGAGGAAGGAUGGUUACACAUUUAAAUUUUUAAAUGUGCCUAUCCCUGCUAUCGCACCGUCCAUAUCCCAAGAGUACUCCAGUGCCCCCUGUGGAUUCAAAGAAAAGGAUUUAUCUGAGGUGUGAACAAGACAUCUGGUGAGCGUGAGACACCCAGCAGCCAUCCUCAUGUGUCAGGAGGACUGAGCAGGUCCCAGAGCCCCAUCACGGUGCCUCCACCUCACUCACUGAUACAUGAGAGACACAGUGACCAGAAGAUCCAGGAACUCACCAACAAGAUCAUUC